rnacentral:tRNA from 1 species
GCGCUCGUAGCUCAGUAGGAUAGAGCGACGGUUUCCUAAACCGCAGGCCGGGGGUUCGACUCCCUUCGGGCGCACCA